CAUUUUUCUGUUGACUUGGUUAAAAAAGAGACAUAUGACAAUGAAAUAAGGUAUUUUCUUUCUUUGAAUUGAGAUCAAAAGAGGAUCUGAGCCUACAAAAAAAUACCUGUUCACACAGUUCCUAAGGAGUAUCUUUCACUGCAAGUCCAUUGCAAUCUUGAUCAGCUGUCUUCAUGGGUGUCUCUCACAUUGCAUGCAGACCACCAGCACAUACCUUGAUUGAGCUCAACAUGGCGUGGUGCCUCCAGGCUCUGGUCCUUGGAGCCGCACAUGCCCCAGAGGGCAAUCUGUGUCUAUGCUAGAAGCUGCCUUUGUGAGCUUGCUUUCUAUACAGAGAGCAAAUCUAAGCUUGAGAGCAGGCUCUGGACUUGGGUUGAUUCCAUUGAAGCCCAUACCACUUGCUCAGUCGGGACUCUUCCUAUAUUACACCUGAAUUAAUUCAUAUUGGGGUCCUGCUCCUACAGUGUAUGGAAGACUCUCUUGAAAUCACUGCUUACAUCUAAUACCAAUAAUCUAAAUGUACCUGAGCACUGAGGCCAACGGCCAUGGAGCAGCCCACGUCCAUGCUAACAACUUGCUUACAAGAGGGUAGGGGUAGGCUGAUGGCAUGCUGGGGGUGGUCCUAGAAUGGCCCAGCUGCCAGACCUACCUGGUAGCUGCUGUGGAGACCAUCGUUAGAAACAGUUCCAGUUCAAGCUGGCAACUUCCAAACAGUUGACUAGUACACAGACAGUCGCAGUGAGAUUGAACUUAAUACUACAGACAGAUGCGUUAAAUGUGUUGUCUAUAGAUCCUGAAACCGUACUUAGGCAGCUAGAUGAGUGUGCAGCCUAACUUUGGGAAAUACCUUAUUUAAAAAAAAAAAAAAAAAAAAAAAAGUCCAGAAUUGAGAGAGAGAGUACUUUGGCCCAAAAUUGUUUAAAACCACCCCACCUGUACAUCUGCAUUCACUCAAACAGGACUUUCAGUUUUAGGCUGCCUGAAAAUCGAUCCAUGCUGUGUUUGUUGCCCUGCCCCUCUUGCAGCAGAUGUGAUUUCACACUUAGCUUUUAGUGAAUUAAAGUAUAGAAGCUCAGCCAAAGGGACAUCAGCAUCUAUCAGAUAAAAAGUUUGAAUAAAAAUUGCUUUAAUUCAAAUAAAAGUGCCUUGUAAGGUCAGAAAACACAAAUACUAACUAGACAGUAUACAAGCUAGUGCUCAUAAAUGUCCCACUCACUUCAAAAGCCAAAUACAGAUAUUAAACACACCUGGUCAACUGCACUUUGGAUCCAGAUAUUUUCUCAGAAAAAAAAAAAAAAAAAAAAAAGAAUGAACCUAACACGCAUUAGUUUAUGAAAAAUGUCAUUGCCCAAUUGUAUUACACUAAUUUUCGUUGCUGCUUGCAGGCGAAUGAGCAAGGCUGGGGAGCAUUUCUUUUCAUGGAGUGUUUUACUAUUUUACCUUCCUUUCUUUGCUUUGCCUUAUUUUAUAUUUCUUCUGGUAGGAGAAACUGACAAAUGGGAAGAACAUCUAUAUUUGACACCAAGAUGGGGAAUGUAAGCACAAAAGUCAGGACACAUUUCUCAGUGGCUGGAGUAUUAUCAGAUACACUGCUUGGAACUGUGCCUUUCAGUGCUGAGUUACCUGCUUGAGCUUAAUAGACACAACUGAUGCUAUGUUGGCAAACCAGCAAUGCUCUGAGGUCUUUCACUUUGGAACUGCUUGACUUAGUGAUUGAUAUUGUUAUUUUUAUUUUUACCUUUCAAUUUGAAAAAAAUAUAUUUGUCUUCUCCUUUUACUUCAUUCUCUUUCAACUUGCUUCAAAUAGUAUAGUUCCACUGGACCUCAAAGAUACAGAAGCACCAGGUCCAGGAGAGAAAAAUAGUACAGAUGUUUGCCUCCCUGCUGGGGGAAAUUUCAGUGUAUACUACUAGUGUUUGAAUAAGCAGUUCUGCUGUGUGUAGCAUUCAAUUCUUCCAGUAAAAAGUCCAUUAGUGUCUCAAACCAAAGCACAUAGAUAUCUAAAAGAAACUUCCUGAAGGAUUUCACAGGGGAGUUUUCUUCAAGAGCUAGGUCAGAGCACUAAGUACAUGAUGUUCCAGAGAAUAUUUGUUUUUAAAGAUGAUGUAAGUCAUACAGUCAUGGAAAAGAUGAGCUGACUACCUAGACCUACCCUUGCUCUAGUGCAGGAUCAAUUACAGCCUUUUGGGUCCUGACAGAUUUCUUUACCAUGUUUGUGUGGACCUUCAAUGAGGCAGGAUGUGAACUGGUCUCUUCUAUGCAGAAGCUUUUUAUGAGCUUGAAGUAUUCAAUCAGAACACCUCUUUUCUUUGAUCUUCUCUGAGUUGAACUUGGACAGAACAAGAUCCUACAUCCUAGCUGAUAUUUUAAUAGAGGACUUUAUGUGUCUUGCAGGCUAAGAAAUGGUGCCUAUCAUCAAGGAACCUUUUUCAGCUGCAAAAAAAAUUAAUUAUUCCUGCAAUAAAGACUGUCUCCAGGAAAAUUAGAUACCAUCAGAAAAAGACAAAUAUUACACAAGUUCAAAAUUUGUGCUAAACUGAUAAGUGAUGUAACACAUCAGUAUAGUAGAGAAGAUUUGCAAUGAUCCAUAGCCCUAUUGCUGAAACAUAGCUAUUUACUGGCAAGUGGGAGUCCCCUCUUGUGUAUUACUUAAUAUGCAGCUUUAUUUUCAGAUAUGGGUAUAGAUCCCUAGAUUUAAAUAAACAGGGAAAGUUAGAAAUGAGAAGUAUUUGUAAAAUACUUAAAUCUGCGGUUGUGUUGUGUUUGUGUAAAGUAUUUCUUAUAAGAAAAUGUCAGUAGUUGCACUUAGUAAGUACAAAACAGACCGUAAGAUAUUAUUUCAAUUAAUACCAUAUUUAUAAUCCCAUUUCAUCUCUCUUUGGUAAUUCUCAGAUAAGAAAACAGGAUUACAGGUGAACUACAUGAAAGCUAACUCUGUAAACUAUAUUGCUUUUAGGAAUAGCUCUGAAGAACAAUGACUCUCAGGGUGUGACCCUAAUUCAUGGUUAUUGCCCUGCAUUUUUUCUGACCUGCCUGUUGGCAUGUCUACAGC